UAUAGUUCUAAAAUAGAUGAUAGUUAAUAUGUAUAGUAACUGCUAAAGUAUGAAGUUGAUGAUGGAUCUGAAGUAGACGGCAAAGUUGAUGAUAGUUUUGAAAUAGACGGCUGAUAUGAAUAGUAAUUGCUAAAAUUUGAAGGUGAUGAUUGAUCUGAAGUAGACAAUGAAGUUGAUGAUGGUUCUGAAGUAAACGGCGAAGUUAAUGAUGGUUGUGAAAUAAACAACAAAGUUGAGGAUAAUUAUGAAAUAUGACUGAAGUUGAUGAUGAUUUUGAAGUAAAGAGCUGGUUAUAAAUAAUAACUACUAAAGUACAUCUUGUUUUGAGUUGUUGAGUUU
rnacentral:lncRNA from 1 species